rnacentral:rRNA from 1 species
UACGUAGGGGGCUAGCGUUGUCCGGAAUCAUUGGGCGUAAAGCGCGUGUAGGCGGUCCGGUAAGUCCGCUGUGAAAGUCGGGGGCUCAACCCUCGGAUGCCGGUGGAUACUGUCGGGCUUGAGUACGGAAGAGGUGAGUGGAAUUCCUGGUGUAGCGGUGAAAUGCGCAGAUAUCAGGAGGAACACCAAUGGCGAAGGCAGCUCGCUGGGACGUGACUGACGCUGAGACGCGAAAGCGUGGGGAGCAAACAGG